AUAUACGACCGUACCGCAAACCGACACUGGUGCGCGAGAUGAGUAUUCUAAGGCGCUUGAGAGAACUCAGGAGAAGGAACUCGGCAAAUUGACACCGUAACUUCGGAAGAAGGUGUGCCCUAUUAGUGUGUAGUGAACAACGAAGCAUGAAUGGGUUGCAAAAAAUCGGUGGCUGCGACUGUUUAUUAAAAACACAGCACUCUGCAAACACGAAAGUGGACGUAUAGGGUGUGACGCCUGCCCGGUGCUGGAAGAUUAAAUGAUGGGGUGCAAGCUCUUGAUUGAAGUCCCAGUAAACGGCGGCCGUAACAAUAACGGUCCUAAGGUAGCGAAAUUCCUUGUCGGGUAAGUUCCGACCUGCACGAAUGGCGUAACGAUGGCCACACUGUCUCCUCCUGAGACUCAGCGAAGUUGAAAUGUUUGUGAUGAUGCAAUCUCCCCGCGGAAAGACGGAAAGACCCCAUGAACCUUUACUGUAGCUUUGUAUUGGACUUUGAACAGAUCUGUGUAGGAUAGGCGGGAGGCUUUGAAGCAGGGUCGCUAGAUCUUGUGGAGCCAACGUUGAAAUACCACCCUGGUGUGUUUGAGGUUCUAACCUAUGUCCAUUAUCUGGAUCGGGGACAGUGCAUGGUAGGCAGUUUGACUGGGGCGGUCUCCUCCCAAAGCGUAACGGAGGAGUUCGAAGGUACGCUAGUUACGGUCGGACAUCGUGACGAUAGUGCAAUGGCAUAAGCGUGCUUAACUGCGAGACUGACAAGUCGAGCAGAUGCGAAAGCAGGACAUAGUGAUCCGGUGGUUCUGUAUGGAAGGGCCAUCGCUCAACGGAUAAAAGGUACUCUGGGGAUAACAGGCUGAUACCGCCCAAGAGUUCAUAUCGACGGCGGUGUUUGGCACCUCGAUGUCGGCUCAUCUCAUCCUGGGGCUGUAGCCGGUCCCAAGGGUAUGGCUGUUCGCCAUUUAAAGAGGUACGUGAGCUGGGUUUAAAACGUCGUGAGACAGUUUGGUCCCUAUCUUCCGUGGGCGCUGCAGAUUUGAGGAAGCCUGCUCCUAGUACGAGAGGACCGGAGUGGACACACCUCUGGUGUAUCGGUUGUCACGCCAGUGGCAUUGCCGAGUAGCUAAGUGUGGAAGAGAUAACCGCUGAAAGCAUCUAAGCGGGAAACUCGUUUCAAGAUGAGAUCUGCCGGGGCCUUGAGCCCCCUAAAGAGUCGUUCAAGACCAGGACGUUGAUAGGUCAGGUGUGGAAGC
rnacentral:rRNA from 1 species